ensembl:snRNA U6 U6 spliceosomal RNA
GUGCUCGCUUUGGCAGCACAUGCACUAAAACUGAACCAAUACAAAGAUUAGCAUGGCCCCUGCACAAGGGUGACACGCAGAUUCGUGAAGCAUUCCACAUUUUU